rnacentral:rRNA from 1 species
CCUACGGGAGGCAGCAGUGAGGAAUAUUGGUCAAUGGCCGGAAGGCUGAACCAGCCAUGCCGCGUGAAGGUCAGUGCCCUAUGGGCGUUAAACUUCUUUUGUGCGGGAGCAAUAAUGGUCACGUGUGGCCAGACGAGAGUACCGUACGAAUAAGCAUCGGCUAACUCCGUGACAGCAGCCGCGGUAAUACGGGGGAUGCAAGCGUUAUCCGGAUUUAUUGGGUUUAAAGGGGGCGUAGGUGGGUGGUUAAGUCAGUGGUGAAAGGCCCCGGUUAAACGGGGGAAGUGCCAUUGAUACUGGCAGGCUGGAGUGCGGAUGAGGUAGGAGGAAUGCGUGGUGUAGCGGUGAAAUGCUUAGAUAUCACGCAGAACUCCGAUUGCGAAGGCAGCUUACGAAUCCGCGAUUGACGCUGAUGCACGAAAGCGUGGGUAUCAAACAGGAUUAGAUACCCUAGUAGUC